rnacentral:lncRNA from 1 species
CAAUCAAUUUUAAUCUGUGUAGUUAAAUCUAGAAUGUUUUGUGUUGAAACGUUACAAAUUUAUGUGAAGUUUUUGUUAGUUUCUUAUUGCACAAACUCGAUAUUAAUGUAUUCUGAAACUACUUAUAAAGCAUCGGCAUUAUAGGGCUAAGGCAAAGAUUAGAAUAUUUUUUUAUGAAAUUUGUUUUUUUAACUUAUACAGGUAAAGUAAUUUUACAAUAAAAGUUGUUUUUAUGCCAUAUCUUUUUUUUUAUGUCAGACAGAAGUUAUUAUUUAAUUUGACUGAAAUACUCCACACGAGGUAGAAAUUUUGCUAAGCUCCAUCUCAGGGAUAAAUGUAUGUCUCGUUAUGAAAUCAAAAUAUUAAAAAAAAGAAAUCCAGUGUGUGAUACAUGUUAAGUUUUGUUAAUGUUUGUAGUUGUUACCUUAUAAUCAAACAUUUAAUUGAUCAGGUGUGUGAUAUUAUAUAAGCUUGAUUGUAUAAUCAAAAUGUAACAUAAUAUUUUAUUCACAAUAUUUACUGAGAAUGUGAGAGAAAAUUUAUUAGAAUUCAUCAAAGUCAUGUGAGAAAUUUUCAACUUUUCAAUGAUCCAUUACCCUAUUUGCAGCAAAAAAGCAAUAAGUUAUAGCAGAAUUUUAUAUACCCUUAUUCAUUAAGAUUACAUGCUCAUAUAUCCUAAGUCCAUGCAGAGCUACUAUAUAUUUCAUUAAUGAUUUUAAUUAUAUUGAGACUUAUAAUUAUCCGUUCAGCAACAAACACUCUUCUAUCAAAUUAUAGCAUGACUAUAGACCAGAGUCUUAUUAUCAAUAUAUUAUCAUGCAUCAGAUCUAUGGAAAACAAGUUAGAAACACUUUUGAUAGCGUGUAUUAUUAGGUUAAUUUGACCUAUAUAUCAUACACUGACUAUUAAUUAUCAGGAUUUAUAUUGGAUGCUUCAAUCUGUAAGAUUUGUCCUGAACAUGCAUGACAUAUUUGCCACUGGACAUUAAGCAUACAACCAAUAUCAUCAAAGAGAAAAGAAAUACCUUAUUUUGUAAAUUUCAUACUGUUUAGAAGCCAAAUCAUUUGAUAUAUAUAAUAGUAAUGGAAAUCUAUAAAGCAUUGUUGUAAGGAUGUGUUGACUAUAUACUUAAACAUCCAAAUUGAGGACUGUCAUUGUGUAUUGUUAACAUUGUAUGAUCACAAAUGUAUACAAAUUCUGCAUUACAUUUAAUUAUGCAAUAUAAGUGUCUCAUUAUAUGCUUUUUUAUGUCUAUAUAAGCAAUAACCAUUUAUAUUUGUUAAUUAUGUGUGCUUAUUUAUAUAAAAUACAACAACUUUAUGUGUCUCACCACAGAAUCAUGUCUCUUGUAUAAAAACCAUAUCAAUAAGGUACAGUGAUGAAUUAUGGGUAAUGCUAUUAAACGAAAUUAAUAAAUAUAUGAUAUAAAUAA